rnacentral:rRNA from 1 species
AUGGGUGCUGUGCCGGCUGUACAACAAGAAGAACAACUGGGAGAAGGUCAAGGUGGAGUAGGACAUGGCUGUGGAGGCAUGGCCUGGACGCUCGUCAACCUCGGCCACUUCGUGAUUACAUACCACUUCUUCCACUGGAAGAAGGGAACUCCAUUCGCUGAUGAUCAGGGGAUGUAUAAUAGAUUGACUUGGUGGGAGCAAAUGGACAACGGCAAGCAGCUUACUCGCAACAGAAAAUUUCUUGUUGUGGUUCCUGUAGUCCUGUAUGUGUUAUUAUGUUUCAAUUUUAUUAAUACUGCUUUUGGGAGCUUACUUGGCAAGGAACAACAUGGCAGGAUGCAUGCACAAGGAUUGAUUCUGGCUAGUCAGAAAUACUACACUUAUUCAUUAAUUAUGCAAAGAACACUUGUUAGUAGCAUCUAG